UUAGAGAGAAGGCCAAAAGCUCACACUGAAUAUAAAUGAUUUAACUCACCUAAUAAUGAAAGAGGAUCUCAGAUUGGAUAUAUGAAUGAAAUAGAGCUAUAUCCAAGCUUAAGGAUGGGAAUACUUGUAAUGGAGAGGUUGAAAAUGAAAAAGUGGGAGACGUUUUCGUAAGCAUGUUAGGUCCGGUUAUGCAGUUCACUGCUGCCCUACACAUUCCAAUUUGGGGAAGUGACUGGAGGUUAAAGGUCAUGAGAAUUCAGUUCUGGAAUAUAGAGGAAGAUAACGGUGGAGUGAUGUAUUCCAGGAGAGCGUGUGGUUGAUGGGAAAGUUUGGAGUCUUCAUCAUGCUGUUAGCAGGCAGCAGAUGUUUCAUUUCGAGGAUGUCUGUGAAAAGACAAGCAUCCUUGGCCAUGUGGACUGACUUGAUUUUAAAGUGAGGUUUGGGGCUGGUGGCAGGUGUCGUUAUAAGAGGGAGGCAGAGGAAGAUGACACAAAUAGGAGAAGAAAAUAUGAAUACAGAGGCAUAGAUUCGAGUGCUGUGGUCACAAGCCAAGGAAUGCCAGCGGCCACCAGCAGCUGGAAGAGCCAAGGAAUGAAGAGAGUACGGCCUUGCCAACACCUUGAUCUUGGCCCAGCCAUACUGAUUUUAGAUUUCUGGCCUCUAGAAUUGUGAACAAAUAAAUUUCUGUUGUUUUAAGUCACCAAGUUUGUGGUAAUUUGUUACACUAGCAAUAGGAAACGUUUGGUAGCGAAAGUGGGGUGUUGCUGUAAAAAAUACCCAAAAAU
rnacentral:lncRNA from 1 species